rnacentral:tRNA from 1 species
UGGGGAGUGGUGUAAUUGGCAACACAGCGGGUUCUGGUCCCGUUAUUCAGGGUUCGAGUCCUUGCUCCCCAACCA